GGGUCCGUGGUCUAGUGGUUAUGACGUCUGCUUGACGUGCAGAAGGUCGCUGGUUCAAAUCCGGCCGGACCCA
rnacentral:tRNA from 1 species